AGUGAGUGAGUGAGUGAGAGUGUUGAGUUUUACGCCGCACUCAGCAAUAUUCCAGCUAUGUGGCGGCGGUCAGUAAACAAUCGAGCCUGGGCCACCACGUCCAGUGAUCAACAGCAUGAGCAUCGAUCUACGCAACUGGGAUACAAUGACAUGUGUCAACCAAGUAAGCGAGCCUGACCACCCGAUCCCGUUCGUCUCCUCUUACCAUAAGCAUCGUUUGCUGGAGACCAGGUCUAAC